UUAAACUAAAGAGUUUGAUCCUGGCUCAGAUUGAACGCUGGCGGCAUGCCUUACACAUGCAAGUCGAACGGCAGCACGGAGCUUGCUCUGGUGGCGAGUGGCGAACGGGUGAGUAAUAUAUCGGAACGUACCCAGGAGUGGGGGAUAACGUAGCGAAAGUUACGCUAAUACCGCAUACGUCCUAAGGGAGAAAGUGGGGGAUCGCAAGACCUCAUGCUCAUGGAGCGGCCGAU
rnacentral:rRNA from 1 species